rnacentral:rRNA from 1 species
UAGAAUUAGUGUUCGAUUCCGGAGAGGGAGCCUGAGAAACGGCUACCACAUCUAAGGAAGGCAGCAGGAGCGUAAAUUACCCAAUGUCGACUCGAUGAGCGUAGUGACAAUACAUAACAAAGAGGGGAUUUUUUAUCUUACUCUAUUGCAAUGAGGCAUGUUUAAUAACCUGUUCGAGCAACCAGUGAAGGGCAAGUCUGGUGCCAGCAGCCGCGGUAAUUCCAGCUUCACGAGUGUAUAUUUAAGUUGUUGCAGUUAAAAAGCUCGUAGUUGAACUUCUGUUCGUUCAAUAGGCGGUCAAACGUCGAUUGGAUGAACAUCCGCCUGAAAAAUCAUUAGGGCCUUCGCUGGUUCAGUGAUGGAUCAGGCAUUUUACUUUGAAAAAAUUAGAGUGUUCAAAGCAGGCUAUCGCCUGAAUACAUUAGCAUGGAAUAAUAGAAUAGGACGCUGUUCAAUUUGUUGGUUAUUGAAUUGCGUAAUGAUUAAUAGGGACAGUUGGGGGCAUUUGUAUUUAAUUGUCAGAGGUGAAAUUCUUGGAUUUAUUAAAGACAAACUUAUGCGAAAGCAUUUGCCAAGGAUGUUUUCAUUAAUCAAGAACGAAAGUUAGAGGAUCAAAGACGAUCAGAUACCGUCCUAGUUUUAACUAUAAACUAUGCCGACUCGGUCUCCGUCGAGUAAUUUUACCUCGAUGGGUGCCGUAUGAGAAAUCAAAGUCUUUGGGUUCCGGGGGGAGUAUGGUCGCAAGGUUGAAACUUAAAGGAAUAGACGGAACAUCACUACCAGGUGUGGAUCCUGCGGCUUAAUUUGACCCAACACGGGGAAACUUACCAGCGCAAAACAAGGGUGGGAUUGACAGAUUGAGAGCUCUUUCUUGAUUCCUUGGAUAGUGGUGCAUGGCCGUUCUUAGUUGGUGGAGUGAUUUGUCUGCUUAAUUGCGUUAACGAACGAGACCUCAACCUACUUACUAGACGUGCGAUUUCCCAUCGUGCGCUCUUCUUAGAGGGACUGUGCGGAGACAAACGCAAGGAAGUUUGAGGCAAUAACAGGUCUGUGAUGCCCUUAGAUGUGCUGGGCCGCACGCGGGAUACAAUGACCCGUUCAGAAAGUAUAACCUGACCCGGAAGGGAGUGGGUAAUCUUUUUAUGCGGGUCGUGCUAGGGAUCGAUCUUUGCAAUUAUAGAUCUUGAACGAGGAAUACCUAGUAAGUGCAAGUCAUCAGCUUGUACUGAUUAAGUCCCUGGUGUUUGUACUCACCGCCCGUCGCUCCUACCAAUUUCGAAUGAUCCGGUGAACCUUUUGGAUUGGGUGCAAGCCUGAGAAGUUAAGUAAACCUUAUCAUUUAGAGGAAGGAGAAGUCGUAACAAGGUU